rnacentral:misc_RNA from 1 species
UCCCACUCAUCGUGGGCAGUUUCUCCAGAGUGCACCCUUGCGGGUUAGCAACAGGAAAUGGGGGUUGCGCUCGUUGCGGGACUUAACCCAACAUCUCACGACACGAGCUGACGACAACCAUGCAGCACCUCGGCUGGUUCCUGACUUUACAGGCCAUCUCUACUUUCAUAGAUCUUACUUCCAGUCGUUCGAGCCCAGGUAAGGUUUUUCGCGUUGCGUCGAAUUAAACCACAUACUCCACCGCUUGUGCGGGUCCCCGUCAAUUCCUUUGAGUUUUAGCCUUGCGGCCGUACUCCCCAGGCGGGGCACUUAAUGCGUUAGCGCCGGCACGGGAGGAGUCGACACCUCCCACACCUAGUGCCCAUCGUUUACGGCGUGGACUAC